rnacentral:rRNA from 1 species
UACGUAGGGUGCGAGCGUUAAUCGGAAUUACUGGGCGUAAAGCGUGCGCAGGCGGUCUGUCAAGUCGGAUGUGAAAUCCCCGGGCUCAACCUGGGAACUGCAUUCGAAACUGGCAGGCUAGAGUCUUGUAGAGGGGGGUAGAAUUCCAGGUGUAGCGGUGAAAUGCGUAGAGAUCUGGAGGAAUACCGGUGGCGAAGGCGGCCCCCUGGACAAAGACUGACGCUCAGGUGCGAAAGCCAGGGGAGCGAACGGG